rnacentral:rRNA from 1 species
CACCGAAGCUGCGGCAGCGACACUGUGUGUUGUUGGGUAGGGGAGCGUUCUGUAAGCCUGUGAAGGUGUGUCGUGAGGCAUGCUGGAGGUAUCAGAAGUGCGAAUGCUGACAUAAGUAACGAUAAAGCGGGUGAAAAGCCCGCUCGCCGGAAGACCAAGGGUUCCUGUCCAACGUUAAUCGGGGCAGGGUGAGUCGACCCCUAAGGCGAGGCCGAAAGGCGUAGUCGAUGGGAAACGGGUUAAUAUUCCCGUACUUGGUGUUACUGCGAAGGGGGGACGGAGAAGGCUAUGUUGGCCGGGCGACGGUUGUCCCGGUUUAAGCGUGUAGGUGUGUGUUCCAGGUAAAUCCGGUUCACUUUAACACUGAGGCGUGACGACGAGGCACUACGGUGCUGAAGCAACAAAUGCCCUGCUUCCAGGAAAAGCCUCUAAGCAUCAGGUAACAUCAAAUCGUACCCCAAACCGACACAGGUGGUCAGGUAGAGAAUACCAAGGCGCUUGAGAGAACUCGGGUGAAGGAACUAGGCAAAAUGGUGCCGUAACUUCGGGAGAAGGCACGCUGACACGUAGGUGAAGUGAUUUACUCAUGGAGCUGAAGUCAGUCGAAGAUACCAGCUGGCUGCAACUGUUUAUUAAAAACACAGCACUGUGCAAACACGAAAGUGGACGUAUACGGUGUGACGCCUGCCCGGUGCCGGAAGGUUAAUUGAUGGGGUCAGCGCAAGCGAAGCUCCUGAUCGAAGCCCCGGUAAACGGCGGCCGUAACUAUAACGGUCCUAAGGUAGCGAAAUUCCUUGUCGGGUAAGUUCCGACCUGCACGAAUGGCGUAAUGAUGGCCAGGCUGUCUCCACCCGAGACUCAGUGAAAUUGAACUCGCUGUGAAGAUGCAGUGUACCCGCGGCAAGACGGAAAGACCCCGUGAACCUUUACUAUAGCUUGACACUGAACAUUGAGCCUUGAUGUGUAGGAUAGGUGGGAGGCUUUGAAGUGUGGACGCCAGUCUGCAUGGAGCCGACCUUGAAAUACCACCCUUUAAUGUUUGAUGUUCUAACGUGGACCCGUUACCCGGGUUGCGGACAGUGUCUGGUGGGUAGUUUGACUGGGGCGGUCUCCUCC